AUGGGUCAACUCAACUCAACCCAU
rnacentral:siRNA from 1 species